rnacentral:rRNA from 1 species
GUGUCAGCAGCCGCGGUAAGACAGAGGGUGCAAACGUUGCUCGGAAUCACUGGGCGUAAAGGGCGUGUAGGCGGGAAGGAAAGUCAGAUGUGAAAUCCCUGGGCUCAACCCAGGAACUGCAUUUGAAACUCCCUUUCUUGAGUGUCGGAGAGGAAAGUGGAAUUCCUGGUGUAGAGGUGAAAUUCGUAGAUAUCAGGAGGAACACCGGUGGCGAAGGCGGCUUUCUGGACGACAACUGACGCUGAGACGCGAAAGCGUGGGGAGCAAACAGGAUUAGAAACCCGCGUAGUCC